GGCUGUUGCAACUUCACAUAUGGUGCUCUGCUUGACCACUUGCUCUGCAAGUUCUGCGAGAAGGCUGCAUUUGUUUCAGACCUGCCAGAGUGUCUGGGACAGCAGUCCUACAAACAACUCCUUGUUUUCCCGUUUCCUUGACCCUAUUGCCAGGCCAAGGCAAAGGGUCUGCCAUGGGCGGCUGCAUGUAAUUUCAUAGGCUGUGCAUCUGAAGUUGACCUCUGCUAUCUGUUUCCUUGUCAUCUCAAACAAGGGAUAAUGCUCUCCUGGGAACAGUUUCACCUCGAAGAGACAGGCAGCUCCUCAAAACAAUAUGGUUAAUCUUCAAGAAUUUGUCUGCCAGCUGUCUUCCAGGAAGCAGAAUCAAGGAAUGGCCUGGUUAUCAAGGGUGGCUGGCUGGAGACCUCCUCUGCCUUCUCCUCUACCAUUGUCACUCUUGCUAUGAUUUACUUAAGGUAUGUUCUGAACCAGUGGAACAAAUGUUCUGUGCUCUCAAAGGCAAAAACUGCCUUGGAAACCAAAGUCAAACCCAAAGAAGGGAAGUGAUGGCCACUCAUUUUGUUACAAACCUCCACCUCAUUUCUGGAGUCCUGUCUGAGAUUUUCAAAUAUAUGGACUUUACAGGACAAAACAGAGGGGAAUGGCAGAGAGGAACAGCUGAGAACAAGGACUGGCAUUGUUCAUUGCUGCGAGAUCUACGCCUUGGACUCAGAAUCACUGGCCAUAUUUUAUCUGGAGCCACACGCAGGAACAUUGUUCUGUACCACACUUCCGACUCAGCCCGAACAUUGCCUUCCUGUGGACACUGCAGAGCUUCAGUGGGCCUGAAGCUUUGCUGGAUGAAAGUUACACAACAGGAAACAAACAAGAAAUGGAGCCAAAUGCAACAAACAAACCCCCAGCUGAAGGGAACAAGAAGAAAGAAAGACAGAGAGUGACUUCAGCUCUGUAAAUCUUUCCAGUCAGUUGUUCUGAUCUUCUAAAUAGCGUUCCCUGAAACUGUCACCUGGUUGAAGUAGCAGUUGCUUCUUGGAUACCUAGUCAAGGUUCCCAGUUUUGUAACAUUGAUUAUAGAGCUUUGUAAGAAUAGAGAAGUACAGUGGAGAACCCUAUGUUGUGAGGGAACCGCAUACUUUCCUACUGGUAUUGUCAU
rnacentral:lncRNA from 1 species